AUUGAACGCUGGCGGCAUGCUUUACACAUGCAAGUCGGACGGCAGCGCGGGCUUCGGCCUGGCGGCGAGUGGCGAACGGGUGAGUAAUACAUCGGAACGUGCCCAGUAGUGGGGGAUAGCUCGGCGAAAGCCGGAUUAAUACCGCAUACGACCUGAGGGUGAAAGCGGGGGACUUUAGGGCCUCGCGCUAUUGGAGCGGCCGAUGGCAGAUUAGCUAGUUGGUGGGGUAAAGGCCUACCAAGGCGACGAUCUGUAGCUGGUCUGAGAGGACGACCAGCCACACUGGGACUGAAACACGGCCCAGACUCCUGCGGGAGGCAGCAGUGGGGAAUUUUGGACAAUGGGCGCAAGCCUGAUCCAGCAAUGCCGCGUGUGUGAUGAAGGCCUUCGGGUUGUAAAGCACUUUUGGCAGGAACGAAAAGUGCCGUGCUAAUACCACGGUACGAUGACGGUACCUGCAGAAUAAGCACCGGCUAACUACGUG
rnacentral:rRNA from 1 species